AUGUUUUCGGUUCCCUUUUUACUCUCGAAUUAUCAUGUAGAAAGAUGUUCAGAUUCAGUUCUCUCUGAAAAGGAAGACGGGGCCCUUAGGGACACAGUAGUACCAUUUCAAUUGUGCGAAAGAUCGUGUCCUGGUAGCCUCUCUGCUGUAGUAAGAUGA
rnacentral:rRNA from 1 species